rnacentral:rRNA from 1 species
UGGGGAAUUUUGGUCAAUGGGGGAAACCCUGAUCCAGCCAUCCCGCGUGUGCGAUGAAGGCCUUCGGGUUGUAAAGCACUUUUGGCAGGAAAGAAACGUCAUGGGUUAAUACCCCGUGAAACUGACGGUACCUGCAGAAUAAGCACCGGCUAACUACGUGCCAGCAGCCGCGGUAAUACGUAGGGUGCAAGCGUUAAUCGGAAUUACUGGGCGUAAAGCGUGCGCAGGCGGUUCGGAAAGAAAGAUGUGAAAUCCCAGAGCUCAACUUUGGAACUGCAUUUUUAACUACCGGGCUAGAGUGUGUCAGAGGGAGGUGGAAUUCCGCGUGUAGCAGUGAAAUGCGUAGAUAUGCGGAGGAACACCGAUGGCGAAGGCAACCUCCUGGGAUAACACUGACGCUCAUGCACGGAAGCGUGGGGAGCAAACAGG